GAGUUUGAUCCUGGCUCAGAACGAACGCUGGCGGCGUGUCUUAAGCAUGCAAGUCGAACGAGAACCAUGGCGCUUCAGCUUGCUGAAGUGCCGGGGGACAGUGGCGAACGGGUGAGUAACACGUAGGUGAUCUGCCCCGAGGUGAGGGAUAGUCUAUGGAAACAUAGGGUAAUACCUCAUGUGAUCCGAGGCUUGGAUGUCUCGGAUGAAAGGCGCAAUCGUGUCGCUUUGGGAUGAGCCUGCGGUCCAUUAGCUUGUUGGUGAGGUAACUGCUCACCAAGGCGAUGAUGGAUAGCCGGCCUGAGAGGGUGAACGGUCACACUGGGACUGAGACACGGCCCAGACUCCUACGGGAGGCAGCAGCUAAGAAUAGUCCGCAAUGGGGGAAACCCUGACGGUGCGACGCCGCGUGGGCGAUGAAGGCCUGACGGUUGUAAAGCCCUUUUCUCGACGAAGAAUAAGGCGAGGAGUGGAAUGCCUCGUCGAUGACGUUAGUCGAGGAAGAAGCCCCGGCCAAUUACGUGCCAGCAGCCGCGGUAACACGUAAGGGGCAAGCGUUGUUCGGAAUUAUUGGGCGUAAAGGGCGCGUAGGCGGUGCAGCAAGCUUGGUGUAAAAGGCUCGGGCUCAACCCGAGGAAUGCGCUGGGAACUGCUGCGCUGGAGUCUUGGAGGGGAAGCUGGAACUCCUGGUGGAGGGGUGAAAUCUGUAGAUAUCAGGAAGAACACCGGUAGCGAAGGCGAGCUUCUGGCCAAAGACUGACGCUGAGGCGCGAAAGCGUGGGGAGCGAACAGGAUUAGAUACCCUGGUAGUCCACGCCGUAAACGAUGUGCACUAGGCGUAGGGUGCGCUGAGUGCUCUGUGCCGGAGCUAACGCGUUAAGUGCACCGCCUGGGGAGUAUGCCCGCAAGGGUGAAACUCAAAGGAAUUGACGGGGGCCCGCACAAGCGGUGGAGCAUGUGGUUUAAUUCGAUGAUACGCGAGGAACCUUACCAGGGUUUGACAUGUGUACGAAGACCUAUGAGAGUAGGUUGUCCUUCGGGACGUGCGCACAGGUAUUGCAUGGCCGUCGUCAGCUCGUGUCGUGAGAUGUUGGGUUAAGUCCCGCAACGAGCGCAACCCUUACCGUCUGUUGCCAUCAGGUAAUGCUGGGGACUCGGACGGAACUGCCGGUGACAAACCGGAGGAAGGUGGGGACGAGGUCAGGUCAUCAUGAUCCUUAAGUCCUGGGCUACACACGUGCUACAAUGGUCGGUACAGAGCGUUGCGAGACGGCGACGUCGAGCAAAUCGCUGAAAGCCGGCCUUGGUUCGGAUUGGAGUCUGAAACUCGACUCCAUGAAGGUGGAAUCGCUAGUAAUCGCGCAUCAGCAUGGCGCGGUGAAUACGUUCCCGGGCCUUGUACACACCGCCCGUCAUACCACCCGAGUUGGGGGUACCCGAAGUCGCUUGCCGAACCGCAAGGACGGCGGCGCCGAAGGUAUGCCUGGUAAGGGGGGUAAAGUCGUAACAAGGUAACCGUA
rnacentral:rRNA from 1 species